AGUGAACGCUGGAGGUAGGCCUAACACAUGCAAGUCGAACGAGUGGCGGACGGGUGAGGAAUACAUCGGAAUCUACUCUGUCGUGGGGGAUAACGUAGGGAAACUUACGCUAAUACCGCAUACGACGGAAUGCGCCGCUGGCGGAUUAGCUAGUUGGCGGGGUAAAGGCCCACCAAGUCGACGACCCGUCGCAGGUCUGAGAGGAUGAUCAGCCACACUGGAACUGAGACACGGACCAGACUCCUACGGGAGGCAGCAGUGGGGAAUAUUGGACAAGGGGCGCAAGCCUGAUCCAGCCAUACCGCGUGAGUGAAGAAGGCCUUCGGGUUGUAAAGCCCUUUUGUUGGGAAAGCGGUACCCAAAGAAUAAGCACCGGCUAACUUCGUGCCAGCCGCCGCGGUAAUUC
rnacentral:rRNA from 1 species